GACGUAGGGGGCAAGCGUUGUCCGGAUUUACUGGGCGUAAAGAGCGUGUAGGCGGCCACGCAGGUCCGUUGUGAAAACUGGAGGCUCAACCUCCAGCUGUCGACGGAAACCGUGUGGCUAGAGUCCGGAAGAGGAGAGUGGAAUUCCUGGUGUAGCGGUGAAAUGCGCAGAUAUCAGGAAGAACACCAAUGGCGAAGGCAGCUCUCUGGGACGGUACUGACGCUGAGACGCGAAAGCGUGGGGAGCGAACAGG
rnacentral:rRNA from 1 species